rnacentral:rRNA from 1 species
AGUGAACGCUGGCGGUAGGCCUAACACAUGCAAGUCGAACGGCAGCACAGUAAGAGCUUGCUCUUACGGGUGGCGAGUGGCGGACGGGUGAGGAAUACAUCGGAAUCUACUUUUUCGUGGGGGAUAACGUAGGGAAACUUACGCUAAUACCGCAUCCGACCUACGGGUGAAAGCAGGGGAUCUUCGGACCUUGCGCGAUUGAAUGAGCCGAUGUCGGAUUAGCUUGUUGGCGGGGUAAAGGCCCACCAAGGCGACGAUCCGUAGCUGGUCUGAGAGGAUGAUCAGCCACACUGGAACUGAGACACGGUCCAGACUCCUACGGGAGGCAGCAGUGGGGAAUAUUGGACAAUGGGCGCAAGCCUGAUCCAGCCAUACCGCGUGGGUGAAGAAGACCUUCGGGUUGUAAAGCCCUUUUGUUGGGAAAGAAAAGCAGCAGGUUAAUACCCCGCUGUUCUGACGGUACCCAAAGAAUAAGCACCGGCUAACUUCGUG